rnacentral:rRNA from 1 species
CCUACGGGUGGCAGCAGUGAGGAAUAUUGGUCAAUGGACGCGAGUCUGAACCAGCCAAGUAGCGUGAAGGAUGACUGCCCUAUGGGUUGUAAACUUCUUUUAUAUGGGAAUAAAAUGUUCCACGUGUGGGAUUUCGUGUGUACCCUAUGAAUAAGCAUCGGCUAACUCCGUGCCAGCAGCCGCGGUAAUACGGAGGAUCCGAGCGUUAUCCGGAUUUCUUGGGUUUAAAGGGAGCGUAGGUGGGUUGUUAAGUCAGUUGUAAAAGUUUGGGGCUCAACCGUAAAAUUGCAGUUGAAACUGGCAGUCUGGAGUACAGUAGAGGUGGGCGGAAUGCGUGGUGUAGCGGUGAAAUGCUUAGAUAUCACGAAGAACUCCGAUUGCGAAGGCAGUGCACUGGACUGAAACUGACACUGAGGCACGAAAGUGUGGGUAUCAAACAGGAUUAGAUACCCUAGUAGUC